rnacentral:rRNA from 1 species
GAGUUUGAUCGUGGCUCAGAUUGAACGCUGGCGGCAUGCCUUACACAUGCAAGUCGAACGGCAGCACGGGAGCUUGCUCCUGGUGGCGAGUGGCGAACGGGUGAGUAAUGCAUCGGAACGUAUCCUGGAGUGGGGGAUAACGUAGCGAAAGUUACGCUAAUACCGCAUAUUCUGUGAGCAGGAAAGCGGGGGACCUUCGGGCCUCGCGCUCUUGGAGCGGCCGAUGUCGGAUUAGCUAGUUGGUGAGGUAAAGGCGUCACCAAGGCGACGAUCCGUAGCAGGUCUGAGAGGAUGGUAUCUGCCACACUGGAACUGAGACACGGUCCAGACUCCUACGGGAGGCAGCAGUGGGGAAUUUUGGAC